UACCAUAUACUGGUGUUCACUCUGACUUCUUGGCGAUGGUGUGCGACUAGAGACAGCCAAAAGCGCGCUUUCUUCUCGCUAGUUGUGCUCCGCGUUUCAUUAGAACAUUGUUGGAAAGCAACACACAACAAGGUCUGAACAGUGCGGGUUGCGUCUUGAGCCUUCCCUACCUGGCUCUCAGCUUGCUGCAGUGAAAGAGAUUUCGGCACUGUGUUCAAGUUUAUUGACUGGUGAGCGCCGCACACAAGCUAGCUACAGAGAUGGCGGAGGAGGAGUUCUUUGACCUGCAUAUGGCCUGUCCAGUUCCAACAUGUCCCAACCAACAAGACAAAAAGGGUGUCAAGCUGGACUGGACAAGCACAUCAUGCGAAGGAAAGAUGCAGAUUGGACAGAAGGGCAACUUGCGCUGCGUGCACCACGCAACGCGUCCCUGUGUCCACGGCCCAAUGGCUUCCUUCAGAUUCGACUGUGGCCUGCGUGGAGAAAAUUCGCCUCAUAGCAUCGACGAGCCCUUCCUUCCAGCGGAUCGCCAGUCAUUAACUCACGCCGUUAGUGUCGGGCUUUCAAUGGAAUAUUUAGGUUAUAAUGAUUUGGCGUGGGUGCAGGAACUACUUAGGUCUCUAUUCGCACAGGUUCAAAACCAAUAACAUGGCUGUGUCCAAAUUGCACCGACACGUUUCGUACAAAGUAGGGUUACUCGUCUGUUCACACGCAUCUAUCUAUGUAUGUAGUAUCAAUCUAUGAGUGUGACCUACACGUCCAUUGUAGUGUGUACCUGCUGUGAGCUUUGGUCCCAGGACUUGUAUUUUUGUUGUUUUUUUGGUGUGUUGCAUUAUGCUUCACCUCAUCAGCACAGCCUUUCGAUGCCUUCUUUUAAAAUUCCUCCUUUUGCCUGAAUCUUGCGAUCCAGCUUGCAUUACAUAUUUCACAUACUGCAUUUAGUACUCUUCCACUUAUAAUUAUAUCGUUGUUAAUUGCUAGAUUUCAGUAUUGAGACGUAUUUUCCCUGAUUUAUGUCUCCAGAAAACUUUUUAUCCAUCUUUUAUUUUUGUUCAUGACUACGUCCAAUGUCCGCUUCGCUGAUUCUGCUUAUUGCCUUAUUAUCAGUUACUUGCACAUGUACAUGAAUUACAUUCAGGACGGGUAUCCUUGUGAAGUUCAAUAACCCAAUGAUUAUGAUUGUAUGGAAUAGGCUA